rnacentral:rRNA from 1 species
GACGAACGCUGGCGGCGUGCCUAAUGCAUGCAAGUUGAGCGCUGAAGGUUGGUACUUGUACCAACUGGAUGAGCAGCGAACGGGUGAGUAACGCGUGGGGAAUCUGCCUUUGAGCGGGGGACAACAUUUGGAAACGAAUGCUAAUACCGCAUAAAAACUUUAAACACAAGUUUUAAGUUUGAAAGAUGCAAUUGCAUCACUCAAAGAUGAUCCCGCGUUGUAUUAGCUAGUUGGUGAGGUAAAGGCUCACCAAGGCGAUGAUACAUAGCCGACCUGAGAGGGUGAUCGGCCACAUUGGGACUGAGACACGGCCCAAACUCCUACGGGAGGCAGCAGUAGGGAAUCUUCGGCAAUGGACGAAAGUCUGACCGAGCAACGCCGCGUGAGUGAAGAAGGGUUUCGGAUCGUAAAACUCUGUUGGUAGAGAAGAACGUUGGUGAGAGUGGAAAGCUCAUCAAGUGACGGUAACUACCCAGAAAGGGACGGCUAACUACGUG